AGAACACGCCUUACUCUCCUCCACCAGUCAUAGAAGGAGAAUGGUCUAAUGCCUCCCAUCAAAAAGAGAGCUGGUCCAAGCAAGCAAAGGCAGCAGCACAGUCAUCAACUACAUGCACCAUUUCUUCACCAACUAUGGAAACACGUGUGGUCCUGAAUUGUGAUAACUGCAGUGGCCAAAACAAGAACACGUUUGUGCUCUGGUAUUGUGUCUGGUAGACCAUGCACAAGCACCACCACAGCCACACCAAGUUUGUCCCCAAGUUCAGCCUCAUCAAGCAGCGCUUCAGAAAGACCCGAGUGAACACUUUGUCUGAGAUUGCUGGUGUUGUGAAGCACAUGAUAGUGACAGGGGUCAACAUCCCACAGUUGGUUGAACUAGAGGAUGGUACGGUGCUGGUGGAAAGUUAUGGCUGGCAACAACACCUGACUCCAUAAUUCAGGCCACUGCAACAGAUCAAGCAGCACUUCAGCUUCGAUGCUCUGGAGCCUGGUGAUGUUGUCACCUAGGAGCGUUCGGACUGUCGGGACCAGGUUUCAGCUGCUGCGCAACACUGACAUCCUUCCUCCCAUAGAUGCUCUGCCUGUACCACCUGGACUGGACACAGCUAGAUAAACUUAUCUUGUUGAGAAGAUUAGGGAGUCUCAGAGGCUAUGGACAUGCCCUGCACCAAAGUUAAGGGCAGGACAGAAACAUGCUCUCCGAAUAUAGAUUCCCUUGUUCAUGCAUGGUAUGGAUGGACCAGUCAUCAGCACUAACUACAGUGCCACUACUUUUUUUAUCCUGUUGCUCAGCCACUUUGAUUGUAUGCAUAUAACUACCUCGUCUAUCACUAUCGUUAUUGGUAUUGUUUGUGUACAUACUGUAUUUUAUUUAUAUUGGCACUAUCUAUUUCUGUAUUGCUACUUUGGAAGUAACCAUUUGGCUGUAACGCUUAUACCUUCUGUAGAGACCCAUCCACUUAGCAAGACUUUAGCAAAAUAUGGAUAUAUAAAGGGAAAAUUGUGUGGUCGUAACAUGAUCUUGUGACAUACCACAACUAUCGUCUGACUGUAUCAAGUGUCCACCACAUAAAUAUAUGGCGCAUUCAUCUGUUUUUGUGCUGUAUAUGUGCACCUCACUGAGGUUUCAACUUAGUUUAAAUGGCCUUAACUUAUGUAUGGUAUACUAUGUGAUAAGUGCGUGUGUAACAGUAUAUAAAUUAUGCUAAUGUUCUGGUGUGAAGCACUUCAGUAAAAAUACUUGAAAAUA